UGAGCGAAACGGACGAUCGCGGGAAUAUUAUUCGUGAGGAAAGUCCGGGCUCCACAGGGCAGGAUGCCGGAUAACGUCCGGCGGAGGCGACUCCCGGGACAGUGCAACAGAAAAUAACCGCCUGCUUAGGCAGGUAAGGGUGAAAAGGCGGUGUAAGAGACCACCAUUCGCAUGGUAACAUGCGAAGUCGUGUAAACCCCAUCCGGAGCAAGACCAAACAGAAAGGUUAAGGGCUGCCCGCCCGUCUUUCAGGUAGGUCGCUUGAUGCGUGCGGCAACGUACGUACUAGAUAGAUGAUCGUCCCGAAGCUUUUGCUUUAAGACAGAACCCGGCUUACAGUUUCGCUUAAAAA
rnacentral:RNase_P_RNA from 1 species